rnacentral:tRNA from 1 species
CAGGGAGACACAACUGAUUGUGAUGUCUGAAUAAUUUAUUUUUAGACCAUAAUCCUGUCACCUUAGGUCGAUCGGUACCUCAAUUUAAUAUUUAAGACCAAAGAAAUUUAGUUUUUAAAUUAUUAGAUUCAGUUCCUAAACUUUGUCUAGGUCACACCCAACAAGGGUACUCCUGGGCCAUUAGCUCAGGUGGUUAGAGCGCACCCCUGAUAAGGGUGAGGUCCCUGGUUCAAGUCCAGGAUGGCCCUUUCGAUGUUGGGGGUAUAGCUCAGUUGGUAGAGCGCCUGCUUUGCAAGCAGGAUGUCAGCGGUUCGGGUCCGCUUACCUCCACUGAUCGACUUCCUGACAAUGAUGUUUAAGGAGAUUUUGUUUGAUGUGAUCUAGAUUAUGUUCUUUAUGAAAUGAACGAACCUAGCUUCUUGUUAUUCCAAUUCAAUUUUAGAUUUGGUUGGUAAGAUGCUGGGCUCCCUGCACUAAAAGUUGCAGAGAUGUUCAGUAGAACCUUGACAACUGCAUAGGUUAAGUCUGGAAAAAAAUAAAGCAUCUCAUGGAUGCAUUAUUUUUUCAGGCUAGUUUUGAAGUUCCUUUUAAUUUAGUGACUUCAACUUUGCUUGGAUUUAUAAUGUUUAAUUCUUGAGCAAGAGCCGAGACUCUAUAGUGGUCUUUUGUUAAAAAUUUAAUGAGAGUUUGAUCUUUGUUUUUUUAUUUUUACCUAUAAGUAAUUAGUUCUUACUGAAUUUCUUAUACAAAAAAUAUUAUAAAAAACAAAGAGAAAGUGUUAACACCACAUAAAGCUAUAGAGAUUUAAU